rnacentral:lncRNA from 1 species
UGAGAGAAGAUGAAGUGGGAGAAAAGGAAAAUGAGGAUGAGUAGACCCGCCUUGGGUGCGGGUCCACGUCUUUUAUAUGCACGAGAGAAAAGUAAGUGACGAACCCGCCUAUGGUGCGCGUCGGUGCACUGCAUGUACGAGAGCAAUGGAGAGUGAGGGGAAUGUGACGGACCCGCCUAUGGCGCGGGUCUGUGUAUCAUUGGUGAGAGAGAGGAAGAUGGAGAUAGGGAGUGACGAACCCGUUCUAGGCACGGGUCCGUGCAUUUAGGCGAACGAGAGACAAGAGGAUGAAGACACUGGUCCAUGCGUUUAGGUGGGUGAGAGAGAGAGAAACAAAAUAAUGAGAGAGGAAGAGAGACGGGCCCAUGCCUAGGCACGGGCCUGAGCAUUUUUUGUGAGGGGGAGUCUGUCCGAGCUUAUAAGGGUGAAUGGGGGGUGCGUGGUCACCCAUUCUUCCUCAUCUCUUUUGUUCUUCUAGAGAGAGA